rnacentral:rRNA from 1 species
GACGAACGCUGGCGGCGUGCUUAACACAUGCAAGUCGAACGGUGAAGCUCCAGCUUGCUGGAGUGGAUCAGUGGCGAACGGGUGAGUAACACGUGAGCAACCUGCCCCUGACUCUGGAAUAAGCGCUGGAAACGGCGUCUAAUACUGGAUACGAGAAGGGUCCGCAUGGGCACUUUCUGGAAAGUUUUUCGGUUGGGGAUGGGCUCGCGGCCUAUCAGCUUGUUGGUGAGGUAAUGGCUCACCAAGGCGACGACGGGUAGCCGGCCUGAGAGGGCGACCGGCCACACUGGGACUGAGACACGGCCCAGACUCCUACGGGAGGCAGCAGUGGGGAAUAUUGCACUAUGGGCGAAAGCCUGAUGCAGCGACGCCGCGUGAGGGAUGACGGCCUUCGGGUUGUAAACCUCUUUCAGCAGGGAAGAAGCGAAAGUGACGGUACCUGCAGAAGAAGCACCGGCUAACUACGUG